GCUAAACGGUACCUACUGCAGAGUUUGUUGGGGCCAUUAAACAUUAUCAUGCUAAACAGGUAAAACUCAUCCACGCACUAGUUCACUUUUACAGCCUCGUCACACUCUUGCAAACUAUUCUGACUCAAACUUUCAACUUUUUUUUUUUUUUUUAAAUAAAGACCAAAAGAGUUGUCAGAAUCAUAAACUUUUGUUGGCCACAUUUCUUAUUUUCUGCAAUAAUCCAAAAGCAAGAUCCCAUUGUUGAGGGAACCAGCAUGAGGCCAACAUCAGGGUUGGCCUGCCAAAAUGUCAUCGCUGCACUCUUUUUUGAGUGCAGUGACAGCUGCCCAUUUAGCCUGUAUAUCAUCUCAGGCUGAAUUCUAGCUCAAUUUAAUUCAAACUAACAAUAGGGGGCAGUAAACAUGUUAGUGUAACUGUUCCCAGCACAUGUUUCUUUUAGGCGUUGUCAUGCUGUCAAACUCCUGCACAUGAAAUAAGUCACUUUUAGUCUGCACCCUGUGAGAAUUGCCACGGAAAUGAUCCAGAAGAAGAUUUGGUGUUGAUGGAGGAGGCAACAUCUUCAAGGCAAAACCUUAGACCUCAUUCAACAUCAUCCAAUGUUGCAAUCACCCUCAGGAGUGAGGAGGAUGUGAUUGGUCAUGCAGCAGCACAGAUAAACACCACAAAGACAUCUGAAAUCUGUCACGAGAUAACACGUCUGAAGUUGUAGAAACGUCAAAAACAGGAAGCCCCAUCUGUCCCUUGAAAAUCACCUUCCUUUGAGAGCCUGUAAAAAUAAAAUUAUUUGUAUAUAAAGCUAAAAACAAUAAAGCAAAAU
rnacentral:lncRNA from 1 species